CUAAUACAUGCAAGUCGAACGAACUUCCGUUAAUUGAUUAUGACGUACUUGUACUGAUUGAGAUUUUAACACGAAGUGAGUGGCGAACGGGUGAGUAACACGUGGGUAACCUGCCCAGAAGUAGGGGAUAACACCUGGAAACAGAUGCUAAUACCGUAUAACAGAGAAAACCGCAUGGUUUUCUUUUAAAAGAUGGCUCUGCUAUCACUUCUGGAUGGACCCGCGGCGUAUUAGCUAGUUGGUGAGGUAAAGGCUCACCAAGGCAGUGAUACGUAGCCGACCUGAGAGGGUAAUCGGCCACAUUGGGACUGAGACACGGCCCAGACUCCUACGGGAGGCAGCAGUAGGGAAUCUUCCACAAUGGACGCAAGUCUGAUGGAGCAACGCCGCGUGAGUGAAGAAGGGUUUCGGCUCGUAAAGCUCUGUUGUUAAAGAAGAACGUGGGUAAGAGUAACUGUUUACCCAGUGACGGUAUUUAACCAGAAAGCCACGGCUAACUACGUGCCAGCAGCCGCGGUAAUACGUAGGUGGCAAGCGUUAUCCGGAUUUAUUGGGCGUAAAGCGAGCGCAGGCGGUCUUUUAAGUCUAAUGUGAAAGCCUUCGGCUCAACCGAAGAAGUGCAUUGGAAACUGGGAGACUUGAGUGCAGAAGAGGACAGUGGAACUCCAUGUGUAGCGGUGAAAUGCGUAGAUAUAUGGAAGAACACCAGUGGCGAAGGCGGCUGUCUGGUCUGCAACUGACGCUGAGGCUCGAAAGCAUGGGUAGCGAACAGGAUUA
rnacentral:rRNA from 1 species